GAGUUUGAUCAUGGCUCAGAAUGAACGCUGGCGGCGUGCUUAACACAUGCAAGUCGAACGAGGCUGGGGGGGCAACUCUCCAGUUGAGUGGCGGACGGGUGAGUAACACGUGGGUAACCUGCCCGGAAGUGGGGAAUACCUCGGGGAAACUCGAGCUAAUACCGCAUAACAUCUUCGGGACGAAAGUCCUGACGAUCAAAGCGGGGUCGCAAGAUCUCGCGCUACCGGAUGGGCCCGCGCCCGAUUAGCUAGUUGGUGAGGUAACGGCUCACCAAGGCUUCGAUCGGUAACCGGCCUGAGAGGGCGAUCGGUCACACCGGAACUGAGACACGGUCCGGACUCCUACGGGAGGCAGCAGUGGGGAAUCUUGCGCAAUGGGCGAAAGCCUGACGCAGCAACGCCGCGUGGAGGAUGAAGGCCCUUGGGUUGUAAACUCCUGUCGGCUGGGAAGAAAUCGUUCGGGGCUAAUACCUUCGGACGUUGACUGUACCAGCAAAGGAAGCCCCGGCUAACUCUGUGCCAGCAGCCGCGGUAAUACAGAGGGGGCUAGCGUUAUUCGGAAUUAUUGGGCGUAAAGGGCGCGUAGGCGGCCAUGCGUGUCUCCCGUGAAAUCCCUCGGCUUAACUGAGGACGUGCGGGG
rnacentral:rRNA from 1 species